rnacentral:rRNA from 1 species
AGAGUUUGAUCCUGGCUCAGGACGAACGCUGGCGGCGUGCUUAACACAUGCAAGUCGAGCGGUAAGGCCCUUCGGGGUACACGAGCGGCGAACGGGUGAGUAACACGUGAGCAAUCUGCCCUUCACUUUGGGAUAACCACCGGAAACGGUGGCUAAUACCGAAUACGACCGCCCCGGGCAUCUGGUGGUGGUGGAAAGUUCCGGCGGUGGAGGAUGAGCUCGCGGCCUAUCAGCUUGUUGGUGGGGUAAUGGCCUACCAAGGCGACGACGGGUAGCCGGCCUGAGAGGGUGACCGGCCACACUGGGACUGAGACACGGCCCAGACUCCUACGGGAGGCAGCAGUGGGGAAUAUUGGACAAUGGGCGAAAGCCUGAUCCAGCAACGCCGCGUGAGGGAUGACGGCCUUCGGGUUGUAAACCUCUUUCAGUACCGACGAAGCGCAAGUGACGGUAGGUACAGAAGAAGCACCGGCCAACUACGUGCCAGCCGCCGCGGUAAUAC